rnacentral:rRNA from 1 species
GACGAACGCUGGCGGCGCGCCUAACACAUGCAAGUCGAACGGAGUCAAGAGGAGCUUGCUUUUCUUGACUUAGUGGCGAACGGGUGAGUAACGCGUGAGUAACCUGCCCUGGAGUGGGGGACAACAGUUGGAAACGACUGCUAAUACCGCAUAAGCCCACGGAUCUGCAUGGAUCUGCGGGAAAAGGAUUUAUUCGCUCUAGGAUGGACUCGCGUCCAAUUAGCUAGUUGGUGAGGUAACGGCCCACCAAGGCGACGAUUGGUAGCCGGACUGAGAGGUUGAACGGCCACAUUGGGGCUGAGACACGGCCCAGACUCCUACGGGAGGCAGCAGUGGGGGAUAUUGCACAAUGGGGGAAACCCUGAUGCAGCGACGCCGCGUGGAGGAAGAAGGUUUUCGGAUUGUAAACUCCUGUCGUUAGGGACGAUAAUGACGGUACCUAACAAGAAAGCACCGGCUAACUACGUG